rnacentral:rRNA from 1 species
GACGAACGCUGGCGGCGUGCUUAACACAUGCAAGUCGAACGAAGUGGCGAACGGGUGAGUAACGCGUAAUCAACCUGCACUUCAGAGGGGGACAACAGUAGGAAACGACUGCUAAUACCGCAUACAGAAGGAGGGGAGUGCGUGUGAUGAGCUAGUUGGCGGGGUAACGGCCCACCAAGGCGAGGAUAAGUAGCUGGUCUGAGAGGAUGAACGGCCACAUUGGGACUGAGACACGGCCCAGACUCCUACGGGAGGCAGCAGUGGGGAAUCUUCCGCAAUGGACGAAAGUCUGACGGAGCAACGCCGCGUGAGUGAUGACGGCCUUCGGGUUGUAAAGCUCUGUUAAUCGGGACGCGGUACCGGAAUAGAAAGCCACGGCUAACUACGUGCCAGCAGCCGCGGUAAUUC